GUAUGAUGAUGAAACCCAUGCGUGUCAGCUGACUCUGUAAACUCCGGCUGUGCUGUUGUUCUAGUUGGCGUUCUGUUGGCUUGAGUCAUCAGCGCAGCAGGGGUCCAGAGACGUGAUCAUACAUCACUAUUUCUGAAUAC